rnacentral:rRNA from 1 species
GAUGAACGCUGGCGGCGUGCCUAAUACAUGCAAGUCGAGCGAACAGACGAGGAGCUUGCUCCUCUGACGUUAGCGGCGGACGGGUGAGUAACACGUGGAUAACCUACCUAUAAGACUGGGAUAACUUCGGGAAACCGGAGCUAAUACCGGAUAAUAUAUUGAACCGCAUGGUUCAAUAGUGAAAGACGGUUUUGCUGUCACUUAUAGAUGGAUCCGCGCCGCAUUAGCUAGUUGGUAAGGUAACGGCUUACCAAGGCAACGAUGCGUAGCCGACCUGAGAGGAUGAUCAGCAACACUAGAACUGAGACACGGUCCAGACUCCUACGGGAGGCAGCAGUAGGGAAUCUUCCGCAAUGGGCGAAAGCUUGACGGAGCAAAGCCGCGUGAGUGAUGAAGGUCUUCGGAUCGUAAAACUCUGUUAUUAGGGAAGAACAAAUGUGUAAGUAACUAUGCACGUCUUGACGGUACCUAAUCAGAAAGCCACGGCUAACUACGUG